UACGUAGGGGGCGAGCGUUGUCCGGAUUUAUUGGGCGUAAAGCGCGCGCAGGCGGCCCGGUCCGUCAUCCGUGAAAUCCCCCGGCUCAACCGGGGGGGGACGGGUGAGACCGCCGGGCUGGAGGGCGGAAGGGGGAAGCGGAAUUCCCGGUGUAGUGGUGGAAUGCGUAGAUAUCGGGAGGAACACCAGUGGCGAAGGCGGCUUCCUGGUCCGCGACUGACGCUGAGGCGCGAAAGCGUGGGGAGCGAUCCGG
rnacentral:rRNA from 1 species